GCGGGCGGCCGCUACCAUGCAGUCGAGCGCAUCCUUCGGGAUCGAGCGGCGGACGGGUUAGUAACGCGUGGGAACAUACCCUUCUCUAAGGAAUAUCCUCGGGAAACUGAGGGUAAUACCUUAUACGCCCUUCGGGGGAAAGAUUUAUCGGAGAAGGAUUGGCCCGCGUAAGAUUACAUAGUUGGUGGGGUAAUGGCCUACCAAGUCUACGAUCUUUAGCUGGUUUGAGAGGAUGAUCAGCAACACUGGGACUGAGACACGGACCACACUCCUACGGGAGGCAGCAGUGGGGAAUCUUACACAAUGGGCGAAAGCCUGAUCUAGCGAUGCCGCGUGUGUGACGAAUGCCUUAGGGUCGUAAAGCACUUUCGCCAAGGAUGAUAAUGACAGUACUUGGUAAAGAAACCCCGGCUAACUCCGUGCCAGCAGCCGCGGUAAC
rnacentral:rRNA from 1 species